rnacentral:rRNA from 1 species
ACGAGCGCAACCCUUAUCUUUAGUUGCCAGCAACUCGGUUGGGGACUCUGGAGAUACUGCCCCGGUUAACGGGGAGGAAGGUGGGGAUGACGUCCAGUCCUCAUGGCCCUUAUGUCCAGGGCUACACACGUGCUACAAUGGUAUGUACAAAGGGUCGCAAGCCAGCGAUGGNAAGCCAAUCCCAUAAAGCAUACCUCANUUCGGAUUGGAGUCUGCAACUCNACUCCAUGAAGUUGGAAUCGCUAGUAAUCGCGGAUCANCAUGCCNCGGUGAAUACNUUCCCGGGCCUUGNACACACCGCCCNU